rnacentral:rRNA from 1 species
GACGAACGCUGGCGGCGUGCUUAACACAUGCAAGUCGAACGAAGAGCGAUGGAAGCUUGCUUCUAUCAAUCUUAGUGGCGAACGGGUGAGUAACGCGUAAUCAACCUGCCCUUCAGAGGGGGACAACAGUUGGAAACGACUGCUAAUACCGCAUACGAUCUAAUCUCGGCAUCGAGGAUAGAUGAAAGGUGGCCUCUACAUGUAAGCUAUCACUGAAGGAGGGGAUUGCGUCUGAUUAGCUAGUUGGAGGGGUAACGGCCCACCAAGGCGAUGAUCAGUAGCCGGUCUGAGAGGAUGAACGACCACAUUGGGACUGAGACACGGCCCAGACUCCUACGGGAGGCAGCAGUGGGGAAUCUUCCGCAAUGGACGAAAGGCUGACGGAGCAACGCCGCGGGAGUGAUGACGGCCUUCGGGUUGUAAAGCUCUGUUAAUCGGGACGAAAGGCCUUCUUGCGAAUAGUGAGAAGGAUUGACGGUACCGGAAUAGAAAGCCACGGCUAACUACGUG